AGUGAACGCUGGCGGUAGGCCUAACACAUGCAAGUCGAACGGCAGCACAGUAAGAGCUUGCUCUUACGGGUGGCGAGUGGCGGACGGGUGAGGAAUACAUCGGAAUCUACUUUUUCGUGGGGGAUAACGUAGGGAAACUUACGCUAAUACCGCAUACGACCUACGGGUGAAAGCAGGGGAUCUUCGGACCUUGCGCGAUUGAAUGAGCCGAUGUCGGAUUAGCUAGUUGGCGGGGUAAAGGCCCACCAAGGCGACGAUCCGUAGCUGGUCUGAGAGGAUGAUAAGCGACACUGGAACUGAGACACGGUCCAGACGCCUACGGGAGGCAGCAGUGGGGAAUAUUGGACAAUGGGCGCAAGCCUGAUCCAGCCAUACCGCGUGGGUGAAGAAGGCCUUCGGGUUGUAAAGCCCUUUUGUUGGGAAAGAAAAGCAGCAGGUUAAUACCCCGCUGUUCUGACGGUACCCAAAGAAUAAGCACCGGCUAACUUCGUG
rnacentral:rRNA from 1 species